rnacentral:lncRNA from 1 species
UUGUGUCCGAAACCCAUUUAUCUCUGUUCGUGCUCUGUUUUAACUACUAGUUGUCUCUUGAAAAAGUAAAGUCCCCUGUUUUUUCUCUGAAAAUGGCGUCCCAUAACAGGAAGAUGCUUUAUCCAUUUCAACCCGGACAAAAUUGCACCUUCGGGCUCUACUUCCCUUUUAUUCCGACAUACCCACCACCACCUCCGCCGCCGCAGAGAGAUCUCUCUGUUAUAGUCUCCACCUCAAUCUGCAUAAUAGGCUCACUCCUACUCUUCCUAUUCCUCAUCGUCUUCCUCUACCUCUACAUCACGAAGUCAUCAAGACGGAGGAGCUCACCUUCCGCAGUGGCUCCCGUCGUCAGCACCAGACGAAGAGAGGAAGAGAACGAAGAAGAAGAAGCCGGAGGAGGAGGAGAAAGAGAUCAUCAUCACUUCUGGAGCAUCGCAACGCUCGGUCUCCACCGCUCAGAUAUCGAUUCUAUAACAGUCGUCGUGUUCAAGAAGGGAGAAGGGAUCAUCGACGGCACGGACUGCUCCGUCUGCUUGAGCGAAUUCGAAGAGGGCGAAGGGGUUAGGCUGUUGCCGAAGUGUAGCCACGCCUUCCACGUCAGCUGCAUCGACACGUGGCUUCUCUCUCACAAGAACUGUCCUUUGUGCCGCGCCCCUGUUUUCUCCCCCGAGGUGCGUGAUAAAGAAACAGAGACGAGUCAUCAGACAGAGUCUGGAACAAGAGAUGAAGAGAGUUCGGGAUCGAGAAACGGUAAUGUUGUUCUUCCGAGGUCACAAAGCGAUUUGGCUAGCCGUUGCGGCGAAGGAAGGUUGGAGACUGUGAGAAGAUCGUUUUCGAUUGGAGGAAGCUCGUUAGUUAAAGCUGAAGGUGGAAGUAGAAGACACUUCUACAGCAGCUUCAGUGCUAAUUUCUUCUCUUCAUCAAGAAGAACAACGAACCAAGACUCGGUUCUCCCGAGCUGAAUGCCUUCUAGACCGUUUAAAUAUCUAGUGUUGUCGUAUUUGAAAUAAACGGAUUGUUUCAAUGGUUUGUUAAGAUUAUAUAAUGAUUUUAAAUAAAGAGAUAUGGGCAAUUAAGGUUAAAUUAAACAAGAACAAUUCUCACUGAGACAUUUCGUCGAACACGUUCAGGACUACAACAUCGAACUAAAGACUAAUUAAAAUCCAAGAAACAGAUUGAUAGAUAGCAUAAGAGUCUCUCAAGCUCUUUCGCCUCUGAUUCUUCUUGCCAGCUGGAUGUCCUUUGGCAUGAUUGUUACUCUCUUCGCGUGAAUCGCGCAGAGAUUCGUGUCUUCGAACAAACCAACAAGGUAAGCUUCGGCUGCUUCUUGAAGAGCUGCGACGGCGCUGCUCUGGAACCUCAGAUCGGUUUUGAAAUCCUGAGCGAUCUCACGGACAAGACGCUGGAAGGGGAGCUUGCGGAUCAGAAGCUCCGUGCUCUUCUGGUACUUCCUGAUCUCCCUCAACGCCACCGUUCCGGGACGGAAUCUGUGCGGCUUCUUCACCCCGCCGGUGGCCGGAGCGGAUUUUCUUGCGGCUUUCGUCGCGAGCUGCUUCCUUGGUGCUUUGCCUCCGGUGGAUUUCCUAGCGGUUUGCUUGGUACGAGCCAUAUCGAUAUCAAAAAAAUCACUACGAACAGUCUAGAGAAUGAGAAUGCAAAUGCGAAAGAAAGUUAAGUAGUGAAGAACAAAGGUUGAAGAUGUGUUGAUUUUAUAAGAAAGAGAAAUUGGCGGUGAGUUGGAAAAAGGGCUUGGUAAGUUGAUUUUGGGAUGCUUCAGACACAGAAUGGGCAAAGAGGGGAUUGUUCUUGCUGCUGUCAUGGCCAAUGCUAGUAGUAUAUUUUGCAGAGUUGGUAACCUUGAUGAUAAGAUGAAAGCUGAUUGCCUAAAGGUAAGAUAUUCUCUACUUUUGUAAAUAGUUUAGAUCCUCUUAGAAGAUGUUGUUCUGAAAUUUUUUUUUCUUUGUCAUCUUCAAGGUGAAGUUCUGCAACAAUAAUGGAGACCUCUUCACUCUUCUUUCGGUGUACAAAGAAUGGGCAUCUCUGCCGCGAGAGAGAAGAAACAAAUGGUGCUGGGAAAAUAGCCUGAACGCCAAAUCAAUGAGGAGAUGCGAAGACACAGUCAAGGAGCUGGAGAUAUGCAUUGAGAGAGAACUUUCUCUCGUCAGUCCAACCUACUGGGUUUGGAACUCAACCGAGGGUAAUGAUAAACACGAGAAGCAUCUGAAAAUGGUUAUACUUGCGUCUCUUGCCGAGAACGUGGCGAUGUACACUGGCUAUGAUCAGCUCGGGUACGAGGUAGCGUUGACUGGGCAACAAGUCCAGUUGCAUCCGUCGUGUUCGUUGCUAGCGUUUGGCCAGAAGCCAAACUGGGUUGUUUUCGGUGAGCUUCUGUCAGCUGUCGACCAGUACUUGGUAUGUGUAACCGCGUUUGAUUUCGAGGCUUUGUCUAUGCUUGAUCCACCUCCACCUUUUGAUGCAUCUCAUAUGGAUGAGUGGAGGCUCAGAGUGAAAAAGGUGGCUGGUUGUAGCAGCACUCUGCUGAAACGAUUCUGUGGGAAAUCUAACCGUAGUCUGCUUUCCAUCGUCUCUCGUGCUAGGUCUCUUUGUGAGGAUGAGAGGAUUAAUAUUCAAGUUGAUGUAGAUCAGAACGAGAUUCUACUAUAUGCGCCUCCCCACGACAUGGACAAAGUGUUGUCCCUAGUGAACGAUGCAUUGGAAUGCGAAAAGAAGUUGAUGCGUAACGAAUGUUUUGAGAAGUAUAUAUAUCAUGGUCGAGGAGAAGUACCCCUUGCACUGUUCGGAUCCGGCGCUCAGAUAAAGCAUCUUGAAGUUGAUCAGAGAUUCUUGACAGUCGAUGUACUCUAUUACGGCGACAACUCUCUUGAUGACAGAGAGAUUCUGACGUUCCUGGAGAAGGAGAUCGAUGGAUGUAUCUGCUCCAUUCAUAAGUUUGCUGGUAACAAGCAAGACUGUGAUGAGAAGGAGAAGUGGGGUAGGGUUACCUUUCGGACUCCGGAGUCUGCUAUGAAGGCAACAGAGAUUCAAAAGUUUGAUCUCAACGGAUCAGUGAUUAAACUAUUUCCAUCGCUGUCAGCUGGUGGUGAAGGAGUUUUCAAGAUGCCUUCUGUUACAGCUAUGAUUCGUUGGCCGCAAAGGGAAAGUUGUGGUAAAGGUGUUCUUAAGUGUGCUUCUGGUGAUAUUCACAGUAUCUUUGCUGGGUCAUCCGGCAUCAUGAUAGGAACAAAAUAUUGCCCCUUUGAGACGGAUCAAAGACACACUGAUUCUAUUUUGAUUACUGGUAUUGACACAAAUCUUUCGGAUGCUGAAGUUUUAGAUGUUUUGGAGUUCGCUACGCAGAGAACAGAUUUGGAAUUUUUCUUAUUCAGAAGAGGAAAUAUUGUGCAUUGUCAAGAUCUUACUGUUUGUAAAGAUAUGCUGCAUAAGAGAAUAUUUGCGCGCUUGUCAUCGAGGAAUCCAGACCCAAAGUGUGUUGAAGUCAAAGUCUUUGAACCAAAAGAAGCUAAUUUUGUGCGAGCGUUGAUUACUUUUGAUGGGAGAUUACAUCUGGAAGCUGCAAAAGCUUUGCAGGAGUUAGAUGGAACUAUUCUAGAUGGAUGCUAUCCAUGGCAGAAGAUAAAAUGCGAGCAAAAGUUUCAGAGCUCCAUAAUCUGUCCUGCUUUUAUCUACAACAUAGUCAGAAGACAAUUAUAUGCUAAGCUAGCAAGCUUCAAGAGACAAAGAAGUGAUUCCAUUGCCACAUUUGAGAUGUUUGCUCUCUAUCACCUAUUAUUCAUUAACAUUCUCUUUUAUGUAUUUUGCAGAAUGUGAAUGGCAUCUGGAGGCAAUUCAUAGUGGUGCUUAUCGUGUUAAAAUCUCCGCAAAUGCAACAAGACGCAUCUCGGAGAUGCGGAGAUCUCUCGAAGAACUCAUAAGAGGAAGACCCAUAAUAAACCAUCCAGGCUUAACCCCAAGGGUCUUGCAGCAUCUUUUGUCCAGAGAAGGUGUUAUCCUGAUGCGGAAGAUCCAACAGGAGACUGAAACUUGCAUUGUGGUAGACAGGCAGAGUCUCGCAGUACGCAUUUGUGGAUCAGAAGAGAGAACCGCUGCGGCUGAACAAGAGCUGGUUCGGUCGCUUCUGGCUUAUCACGAGAGCAAGCAGCUUGAAAUCCGCCUCCGAGGUCCGAAUCUCCGUCCUGAUCUCAUGAAGGAAGUUGUGAAUCGGUUUGGUCCAGAGCUCCAAGGUAUUAAAGAGAAGGUGAAUGGUGUGGAUCUCAAGCUCAACACUCGGAACCAUGUUAUUCAUGUUCAUGGGAGCGUGGAGAUGAGGCAGGAAGUAGAGAAGAUGGUCUAUGAACUUGCACGGGAAGAAGGUAGUGCACUGGGCGGUACUAAACCAGAUGAGAUUGAAGUUGAAUGCCCUAUUUGCUUGUCUGAGGUUGAGGAUGGCUACUCUCUCGAAGCAUGUUCACACCUCUUCUGCAAAGCUUGUUUGUUGGAACAGCUCGAGGCGUCGAUGAGAAACUUUGACGCAUUUCCCAUAAUCUGUUCUCACAUCGACUGUGGAGCUCCUAUAGUACUUGCUGAUAUGAGAGCCCUCUUAUCACAAGAGAAGCUCGACGAACUCUUCAGAGCAUCCCUCUCCUCUUUUGUAACAACCAGCGAUGGUGAGUUCCGGUUCUGCUCCACACCUGACUGCCCUUCCAUCUACCGCGUUGCCGGUCCUCUAGAUUCAGGGGAGCCAUUUUUCUGCGGAGCGUGUAACUCACAGACGUGCACGAGGUGCCACCUGGAGUAUCACCCGUACAUCACUUGCGAAAGGUACAAACUGUUCAAGGAGGAUCCUGACAUGUCGUUGAAGGACUGGGCGAAAGGGAAGAACGUGAAGGAGUGUCCGUGUUGCAAGUCGACGAUAGAGAAAUCUGAAGGGUGUAACCAUCUGCUGUGCCGGUGUGGGAAUCACAUUUGCUGGGUCUGCUUAAGGUGGUUCGCUCAACAAGAACCUUGUUAUGAACAUUUGAGAGGAGUCCAUGGUGGGAUAGGCCUCUUCGAUGAGCUAGGCAUGCCCAUGCUUUGAAGUACCUCUCCAAAAAAAUGUACAAAUUUGUUUUAAGUAGAGGUCCAUGUAUAUCUAUAUUGUGUAACAUUAUCUGGUUUGGUUCAUAUGUAAUUAUGUCGAGAGAUUGGUUCAGUAGUAUACCUUCUUUAACCAAUACAAACCGAAAACUCAUAAACUUGAUGCCAAGGUAUGAAGAGUUUUGGUAUCAACGACUUGAAGCUUGACUUGUUAACAUCACUGAAAACGCGUAAACGUCUACAGAGAGUUCACUAAUAAGUCUAGUUUUGGGUCAAGACAAAGUUGAAAGGAAACUACUUUCCAAAGACGUACAGAGACAUCCCUUUAAUGGCAUUUAUCACACACCUUCCACGAAAUUUCCACCCACUUCCAAACCCUAUCAAAGGACUGAUCCUCAAUUCUUAUUAGAGUCCGGUAGAUUGUGAUCUCUGUCCCCUUAUAAACUCAACACGUUCUUGGAAUUUUUGGGGUCAUGACUUGACUAUGUGUAGAUUCUAACGUCAAUAUGGGUUUUAAAUUUCAUCUAGUGCCCCUAUUUCUUCUCUCUUUCUUCAAGAGCAAAAACUUAGUUUUGUGUCCGAAACCCAUUUAUCUCUGUUCGUGCUCUGUUUUAACUACUAGUUGUCUCUUGAAAAAGUAAAGUCCCCUGUUUUUUCUCUGAAAAUGGCGUCCCAUAACAGGAAGAUGCUUUAUCCAUUUCAACCCGGACAAAAUUGCACCUUCGGGCUCUACUUCCCUUUUAUUCCGACAUACCCACCACCACCUCCGCCGCCGCAGAGAGAUCUCUCUGUUAUAGUCUCCACCUCAAUCUGCAUAAUAGGCUCACUCCUACUCUUCCUAUUCCUCAUCGUCUUCCUCUACCUCUACAUCACGAAGUCAUCAAGACGGAGGAGCUCACCUUCCGCAGUGGCUCCCGUCGUCAGCACCAGACGAAGAGAGGAAGAGAACGAAGAAGAAGAAGCCGGAGGAGGAGGAGAAAGAGAUCAUCAUCACUUCUGGAGCAUCGCAACGCUCGGUCUCCACCGCUCAGAUAUCGAUUCUAUAACA